AUCCUCUCAGGCCUAUUGGCUAAGAUCAAGUGUAGUAUCUGUUCUUUUCAGUGUGACAACUGAAACGAGGUUUUUUAAGCCUCAUUGUUGUCUUACUUAUUUUUAAGACCAGUUGAAACAUUCUUAGCAUGCUAAGGGUUUCAACACAGGUGUUCCUAGUAUUGCACUAUCUCUAGGUUACGCCGAGAAACC
rfam:Piromyces finnis strain finn BCR36scaffold_23, whole genome shotgun sequence.